rnacentral:rRNA from 1 species
AUCCAGAGAACUUGGCAGAGACUGCCUUGGUGCCUUCGGGACCUCUGAGACAGGUGCUGCAUGGCUGUCGUCAGCUCGUGUUGUGAAAUGUUGGGUUAAGUCCCGNAACGAGCGCAACCCCUAUCCUUUGUUGCCAGCGAUUCGGUCGGGAACUCAAAGGAGACUGCCGGUGAUAAACCGGAGGAAGGUGGGGAUGACGUCAAGUCAUCAUGGCCCUUACGAGUAGGGCUACACACGUGCUACAAUGGCGCAUACAAAGAGAAGCGACCUCGCGAGAGCAAGCGGACCUCAUAAAGUGCGUCGUAGUCCGGAUCGGAGUCUGCAACUCGACUCCGUGAAGUCGGAAUCGCUAGUAAUCGUAGAUCAGAAUGCUACGGUGAAUACGUUCCCGGGCCUUGUACACACCGCCCGUCACACCAUGGGAGUGGGUUGCAAAAGAAGUAGAUAGCUUAACCUUCGGGAGGGCGUUUACCACUUUGUGAUUCAUGACUGGGGUGAAGUCGUAACAAGGUAGGCGUAGCGAG